GGAUGUGAUCAUACCAAAACUUAGCACACUGGAUCUUAUCAAAACUUUGAAGUGAAGCGUGCUUGGGUGCGAGUAGUACUAGGAUGGGUGGCCCCUCGGGUAGUCCUCGUGUCGCAUCCC
rnacentral:rRNA from 1 species